UGGGGAAUAUUGCACAAUGGGCGCAAGCCUGAUGCAGCCAUGCCGCGUGUGUGAAGAAGGCCUUCGGGUUGUAAAGCACUUUCAGCGGGGAGGAAGGCGAUAAGGUUAAUAACCUCAUCGAUUGACGUUACCCGCAGAAGAAGCACCGGCUAACUCCGUGCCAGCAGCCGCGGUAAUACGGAGGGUGCAAGCGUUAAUCGGAAUUACUGGGCGUAAAGCGCACGCAGGCGGUCUGUCAAGUCGGAUGUGAAAUCCCCGGGCUCAACCUGGGAACUGCAUUCGAAACUGGCAGGCUAGAGUCGUGUAGAGGGGGGUAGAAUUCCAGGUGUAGCGGUGAAAUGCGUAGAGAUCUGGAGGAAUACCGGUGGCGAAGGCGGCCCCCUGGACAAAGACUGACGCUCAGGUGCGAAAGCGUGGGGAGCAAACAGG
rnacentral:rRNA from 1 species